rnacentral:lncRNA from 1 species
GUUAGGGUGGGGGUGGAGCACCAGCCCACCGACAGCAGCCGCUUUGGCCUGGGAGCCGGCGGCCCGGGUGUGGACGCGAGAAUGCCCCGCGGGCCCCUGCACUUGUCUGACACAAAUCAGGCUGACUAGGCUCAGGGAAUGAAGUAAAAGUUCCGGAUGCUUGAAGACCCUGAGUAGCCACCUUGCCCGAGCGAGACGCUGGCUGGUGGAGCGGCCUCCAGGGCUGCCGGAAAUGGGAGGAAGCCCUCGCAGGGGGUCCUGCGGUUCUAGCUUUUGUACCGCCCCGCCUAGGCCAGUCGGGAGCUGACGCACCCGCUCCCCAGAGACGCUGGGGGCGUCGCACUGCAGCUGGGUGGGGAGCAAUUUAUUCCUGGCGGUCACAUCCCACCCCAUCUUCUGUUACUCCACCCUACCCCUCCCAUCCCUCCACCUCUUCCUCCUCCUCUUCUACCAACGCCCGCACUAUUUUCUGAUUCUUUUUCUCCUCACCCUCCAUUCUCCCUCUCUCCCUUUCUUUUCCUCUCUCCCUUUCCCCCUCCCCCACUCUUCCAUGUCCCUCCCCCUCCUACGAAUAACCAAGCUUUUGCCUCUAAAAGUCACAAGAUGAGAGAGAGAGAGAGAGAGAGAGAGAGAGAGAGAGAGAGAGAGAGAGAGAGAGGCCUGCGAUGACUGAAGACAGGAGGGAAUCUGGUACACCUGGGAGUGAAAACUUGAUGCUUCUGGGCCAAGAUUUGCCAGGGCCUCGCUUAAGGUGAGUACUCUGGGGACCCGAGGAGUUCCCACUAGGAAGGCUCCAAACCCCGCCCAAAUCUGAGAGACCCGCGGUAAAGCGGUUGAAUCAGGGUUGGGGGAAGAUCCGGGAAGGAGCACAGCAUAAGGGUCCCAGGCCAAGUGGGUGCUGUAGCUUGCCUUGUAGCUCCUAGCUCCGGCUCUAGCCCAGGACUGCUUCCCAGCCUGCCUGGGGAAUCCGCGACGGCUGUGCCUUCCAGUGUCUCUUCCUAUGCCGACCUUCCCGCAGCUCCCCUCCUAACAAAUCGGCGUUCAAGGGAUUCAAGGGACUCUUUGGCGUUAGGAAGUGAGAAAGUCAGCCUCUCUCUCAGAUAGUGAAAGGGAAAGUUUGGCAAGGUGGAACUCUCUGGUGCUACUGUUCCCUCGAACCUAACCAAGGAUUCCCAGGUAGCGCAGAAUAUUGCUAUUUUUCUUUUUUAAAAAGAACGACUUUAACGAAAAUUCGUAUGUAGUCAAAAAGAUUAUUGGAUCACUAUGACUGAUCAGCUGCUGCUGACCUACCAAUAAGCGUUUUAAAAUACACACGUACAUUCAUGCGUGCCCCCUACACGCAAACACACUCGGGGGGUUAUGAGUAAUGAGUCAGACAGCUCUAAGUUACCAAGAAUUAAGUGGGAAUCUAAAGGUUUUUUUUUAAUGUUAUGCACGUAUGCUCUAUUUGUGUGCACAUUCGAGGAGGGGGAUGCUGAAGGAGCAUUCGUUGGCUGGGCAUUUUCUCCGUGCCUGUGUGUUGCGUGUGUUGUCAGCUGGCUCUGGUUUCUAAGCACCGAGAGUUGCCAAAGCUGGGGCCAGCAUCCACCUUGGCACCCUAGUGGCAGAACAGGACUCAUUUGUUUGGUGCAGAGCGGUGAGGACCUGGAAGAGGCUGGAGUGUAGUUAGGUCGGCCCCCUGCCAUCUAUUACACCUGCGGCAGAUGGCUCAAGUGGUAGAGCGGUUUUGUUUGCCAGGAUCAAGAAGGGAGGAGGAGGAGAUUCAUCCUCGCCCCACUCAAAAGAAGUACCGUAAAGAACCAGAGAAAUAAAAGAAGCCACGUCCAUGCCAUCAAAAGCAACAAUGCUGUCCCCUCCCCUGAGUUAUUCUGGGCAGUUAGUGACCUUGAUUCCUGGUCCCAACAGAUAUCCUGGCAGAAUUUUACGAAUAUAUUUUUGAUCAAAUGUUUUCUCUACGCGCGCGCGCGCACACACACACACAAGCACACACACAAGCACACACACACACACACACACACACACACACACACACACACACACACACACACACACAGGUGUAUGCACACAGGUGUCCUUGGAGCUGAAGGGAAUGCCACUCAAAAUCCAGGAAGUCCCUUUUCUUCCCAAGAGCUUCCUUCACUCAGACUGCCAACUCACGCAGAAAGACCCCUCCCUAGACGCCCGGCUAGCUGGGAUUUAAGCAGGCUCCAAAUGUAUCACUCUCAUUUUUACAUAGAGUGACGAUCCUUUCUGAUCAAUAUUCUCAUCCUUGCAUCCUUUCCUUCAUGUUACUCAACAAGCAGGGAAAGAAGUAAACACACACUCCCUGGUGACAGUGAAACAUGGACAGAUGUGACAAAGAGCGCACACAGUCUAUGAAGCUGUCUGUUUUCAAUUGUUUAAUUCUAUACUGAAGCCCAGAGUGAAGAGAGAACUAUAUCAAGGGACACCAAAACACAGCAGGACUCUGUCUGUACCCUUGCUCCACACAAGUCACUAUAAUCACAGACAUCUAUGUUUUAUAGCAAAUAUUUUCAUGUUUCUUAUGAGGUAAAUUAUUAUGCUGAUCUGAUUCUCUAAUGUAAAUCAAGUAAAUUUCCUUUGCCCAGGAUAUACUAUGCUAACUUGUUGGGAUGGUUGGUAUGUAGCUGCAGAGAAAUUCCACCAUUUUGGAGCACACAUUCUAUUAUUUUUCACUUAAGGCCAAAUGAUGUUUAGAAUUCUACCAAAGAAGAUGAAACAAAAAUCCAUUCUAGUUUUGGUUUGGGGGUCACAAAUAAGACACAUUCUAAAACCCCCACACAGAAAGGGGAAAACAUAAAAAACAAAACCACACUGCCAUUUUCCAAGAUUCCGGAAAGAAUCCUGUCAAUUCCGGAAGAAUCCUGUGAACUAGGUUUCUCUGGCUGGGUACUUACAUGCACCAUGUAAUUUAAUUAUUCUGCAAUCAUUUGCCUUCCCUAGGAGGGUUUUCAUUUUCCAAGGAGAAACUUUAAUAUACAGUAAGCUAUAAGGAUCGUUGAGAUGAAUAUAAGAAUAGUCCUGCCUUUUAUUCAGAAUUAGUAAUAUGAGUUUACUCACACAUCAGACAAAUAGCUAAGGGUCUGUUCUAAGGUGUGAGUGCAUGUAUUACCAAACCCACUACUAUCUACUUGCAGAAAAAUUAGAACAAGAAUACUGCAACCAUAAAAAUGAGAUGGGUCUUCUUGAACUUUUAAGAGUUUUUUUAAAUAAAAAAACCCAGAAAGACAACUGUUUUAAAACCUGCUUUUAGGGACACUAUGAGCAUCCUGUUUUAUUUAAAGAAAAAAGAAAUUAUCAAACUUUUACAAUUCUGAAGAAUGAAGACAAUAAUUUAGCCCAACCAAUGCUGCUUCUCCUCCCCUUUUCUGAUUUAAACAUGUUAGACCCUAGUUUCAACCAGUGUUCUAAACCUAAGAAUAAGAAUUUCCAAUAUGAACUCGUGACCUUUGAAUUAACAGGUGAAUUUAUUGUGUGUGUUUUUUUUAAAUCUGGGGUUUGAGAACAAAUGACAUUUUAAAUUGAAACCUCAGAGACUCCAACUAGUUCAAAUGAUGCAGUGUUUUAAGGGAAAGGAAUCUGCCUUCAUAUUUUAACAGGACAGUCCCGAAUCACAGUAAGAUUUCAAAGGCCCCUGCCCGCUCAGAACCUGGCACAAGGAAAGGAAAAGUGUAGAGUAAGAGGGCAUGCUGGGUCCCCUCCCUCUUCCACUCGCCGCUGGGACCACCUACAUCACAUGCUUUCAUAUGAAAUGGCUAUUUGGUUUUACAGAAAAGACUCAUGAGACGAAAUCUAGAAUAUGCAAUAUGCAAAUUGUACUCAGCCACACUUUAUAUAAAAUACAUACAUACAUAUAUAUUAACAUAUCUACUUUGAUACACAUGUUCUUGUGUGUGCUUAGGUCUCAAAAAACAUCGCCAUCAUUCCAAGUUUGUCUUAGCUUGAGGAAUUAAUAAGGUUAUAAUCCCUUUUUUUUUUUUUUUUAAAAAAAAAAAAAAGGUACCAAAUGUUUUCUGGAUGCAGUGCAAUGAGGUAAAGCCAUUUAGCACCCAGAAGGGCUCAACCAAUUUACAGGCCUUUGGCGGUGCCAGGUAUUUUUAAAGAUAGUCUUCAAUUGGCGCUGAAAUAGGUGUGGUGGUGAAGAAUAAAUUAUAUUAAUAAGCUCAUGUAAAUUGGGAUUCGAUAUUUGUUUGCAUAUCAUAAAACCAAAGAACUGUGAUCAACUGCAUUUGCAGGUCCCUAGGGUUCCCAGAAGAAAGGGCCUUCGGCUGGAUGUUUUGUGUGUUGCCUGUGUGAUCAGGCCCCUUCUGCAGCCCCCCCCCCCCGCCCCCAGAGCCCUCUAGAAACUAUAGCUUUGUCUUUCCUAGUGCAGAAAUGGCUAGAGAGGUCCCAAGAGCCUUAAACACAAAGCUAUUGAAGCUCCCCAAGCCCAGAGAAUUCAGGUUCUCCGGGUCAGGGCCGCCCCGACGGCCCAAGCACGGUCCUCAAGGGGCCAGUAGGUGUCGCUGUUUCCCUGCUGGCAGGAGCCUGGAGCCCGACGUUGGCCCCUAGCACCACUCAGCUUUCGGCCCCGGGUGCUUUCCCAGACUCCUCUGAACUCCAGGGUUGUGAACGCUCCCACAUUGUUUUUCCCCCUAAACCCUGUCCUGGCUCACCUGGCCAGGGCCACAGCAACAGUGGUCGACCUAAGGGAACAUCUAUGGAGAGAAAAACGAGAGACUAAUUUGGUAGGGCCAAAAGGCCACCCCUACGGAAUAGGCUGAAAGCCUGCUUCAUCUGCCUCCCAUGCUCCUUUCUCUUCACAGGCCGAGGGUGGCAAAGGUCUAUGGGGAGCACCCUGGUAAAACCCAAAAUUUGAAGAAUUCAGACACGGUUUUACUUUGACUUUGAAAAAUAAACAAGAGGUUCACAACUAGCUUUGCGGGACCUAGUCACAGAAAGAGUUUUCAUAUCCUAGUCUCAAAAGACUAUGAAGGAGGUUGGGAGGAGGGGGCAGAACGCUAGGCCUGGACCAUGAGCUACCUAUGUUUUUGCCCACAUGCCUGUGCGCAGUGUCGGGUGAACGCACUGGCCAUCCUUUGCUCUGACCCAGAAAGAAAAAUUUGAAGUACCCUAGUCUCCCCCACCGCCCUCCCUAAAGCAUUGCUUACUAGGCAUUAAUCUCCCUUGGAUAGGGUUAGCCUAUCUUUGCAAUCUGUAUUAAAAUUCUAGGUAUUGAGAAUUCUGCUCCUUUAUUUGACGUCCUGCGGGCCCCUGGCUUUGGCUCAGUAUACCGCGUAAGCGAUUAUUAACCAGAGGCGUUCUUUUUGUGUCUGGCAGGGGGAGGGGGGAUUUGGCUUGCAGAUUCCAAGAGAGACACUUAACAAUGGUUACAUCCUAUAGAUGGCUGGAGAUUUUAUUACGAUCCGGAUUUCUAUGCAUAGGGACCCCACUGCUCUGAGGGAGAAGGUGGCUGGGGGAGAUGGCAUGAAACACCCUAAAUUCAGUCUUGCACAGUCUCAAGAGGUGUUAUGGAAGUGGAAUCAGCUUUGUAUUUAAUGCGAGUCUAAAAAUAAUGUCUGCGGUCAAGAGUUUGCUGUAAUUUUUUUAAAGACCCAUGCUGCUGUGUUUUGUGUAAAAGUGAAACAUUCACAAAGACGAAAUAUGAAAUUCGCAAAUAGAAGGCAGAGGAAAACUUCGCACUUAAGGUGCCAAAUAUAUUGGGAUAAUUUCCCUGUAAUGUCUAGGCUGAGGCAUUUCCCUCUCAGGACCAGAAGCACAAGAGGCUACGUAUUCAAAGAGAAGCUGACUUUUUAGCCAGAGUUAGCAAAUAUCUUCAUUAAAUGUCACGCCUUUGCUGUUCCAUAAAAUAGACGCCUUCCUUUAAAGUCUUAUGUCUGUUAUACAAUUUUAAAUAAUCAUUUCUGAUCCAGACAGCAGAUUUAUCUCUGGGGGUGGGGUAGGACGAGCACGUGUCUAAUUGUAGGUUGUGAAGUUCAGUGAGGUGGUAUUUUUAGCUUGAAAUGCUCAGAUUCAUAUAUUUGGAUGUUUCUUCCGGUCUCAUCCUUUCUGUUUUUCCCCCUGAUUCACUCAACCCUUUCUCUCAUUUUCCGCUCUUUUUUGUCUCUGUCUUCCUUCUCCCCUCUACAGCGCCUCUCGUCCUUUCCUUUCACUUCUUCUCUUUCUCGCCUCUUUUCUUUCUCUUUCCCGCUCGCCCCCUUUCUUGUAUAAUUUAUUGUCUGAUUCUAUCAGUCAAGUUAAUAUGAAACUAGCAAGAGGGAGGCCCAUUACCCUUAUCUGGCCCUCUCCCCGAAGCGCUUAUGAGACUUAGGGAGCUGUCGGUAGCUGUCAGGUUAUGGACCAGAGCGGCGGCCCUAGGUGCAGAGUACUCUGCCUGUGGAAGAGUUGGGGUCCGCCUGGGGUUGCGGGGCUUAUUCAAAUACCGCCCGCUGCUGUCGUGAUUCGCAGGGACUCGGCCUCCAUAUGACGCCUAAAGGAGCCUGUUUGUGUGCUGUUGCCACGUUCUGCUGUGCCUGGGUCUUGUCUUCUGCCUGUAGCUUCGAUUUCGGUCCGGCUGGAUUUGGGGGACAACACUGCCUGUCGCAGGGACAUCAAGUGAGACUUCAAAGAAGCAUAAAAUGAAUAGACUAUUCAAUCAAACAAAGACCGGGGGCAGCAGUACUCCAGCAAGACAGCAUCUUCUCCCCAGCCUAGAAGUCCUGAGAAAUCGAGGAUCUCCCCCUAAAACAUUCACAUACAAGAUAUGUGCAAUCAAGCUGCCAGCACUUGGUAAAAAGCUCAUGAUGCCUAACCCAAUGAUCCGGCGCAGAUCUUUGAAUCAGCUGUCACUUCUAUAGAAUGGGAUUUUCCCCCUCUUCCUCUUUUACCAGCGCUGGAAACUGCCGACUGCUUUAUACAUCUCAGUAGAGGAAGGCUAAAGAAUCUUACGUGAGAACGAAGCAAUUUACAAUGCAAAUAGAGGCCUGUGAAGUGAUGGACGCUGCAGCUCACUGGAACAGCUUGCUGCACCUUAGUCGCUGGUUCUCAUUUUCUGAUAUUAAUAGAUGAAUUGUUGGCUAACGCUGCUGGAGAUUACUUGCUGGAAGGGAAAAAAAAAGUUUGGAAUAAACUCUGAAUGCAACAGAUCUUAUUUGGAUGUUUAGCUGCACUCACUCAGACAGAAACCAGGUCAUGUUUGCAUGAAAAGAGGAAUCUUAAACGCGGCAAAAAUCCUGGAGGACUACACUUGUGUAGAUCCAGAGUGGAGCCGGAUCUGGAGUGGAGCCAGAGGAAGACUUCCUGUGAAGGAAGCGAGUUGUUAUCUUUGGUUAUCUAGCUGUAUGAGUGUAUUGGUCUUCAUAAAGCUAGAUAACCGAAAGUAAAAACUCCUUCAAGAUCACCGAGGAGCCGCCCAGAAUGAAAGCCUACAGCCAAGAGACAGUAAAGACCAGAAAGAAAAUUUCCUUUGUGCACAAUUGUUUACUUAGCUAAAGACUAAGGACUGCACCAGCAACUGAGGACAUUCCUUCACUCAUCUUCUUAGAGAGACUGUGAACCCUUAGCCCUCUGUAUCCUGGUGUUCCAGAUUAUCAGAUUCAACCAAUUGUAAAUGGAAAUACAUAUAAAAAUUUCAUAAAGUUCUAAAUAGCAAAAUUGAAUUUUAUAUGAACUGAGUAUCACUGUAAUCUGUGAUGUGCAGGCACACCCUGCUGUAGCCUCCUGCCGCUUCAUAGCUUAGAUUGUUACCAGCAACUGAGCCUCC